ensembl:lncRNA
AUGAAAGAACUGCUUUUUUUUUCCUAUUUUUCUUUUUGUAUGUGUGUUAUAGAUGGAUCUGAGAACGCUGUCUGGGCUUGGUGCCAAGGGCUGGUAUUUCACAGCAGCGACCGCCUCACAGACGAGCUGUGGGAAGCAGGAGGGAGACUCUCUCUUAGGGUGCCACUACUAUGGAGACACAGCUGGGCUGAACAAGAUUUGCUUCAAACGACAACAAGAGAGACAGAAAGUAUCUGGUUCAACCGCUGCCCGAGCAGGCAGGCACCAGAAGAGCUAGCAGCCAAUCCGGCCAUGCUCGAAGCCAGCUCUGCAGCUCAGCCAAUCAGUGACAUCACUGAGGACUGUUUUUCUUCAAUCCUUAAGGAUUCAGCUUCUUACAUGGGUUUUGCCGGAGGUCAUGGGGAAGUACCAAGAGGUCUAAAUCAUGCUGGUUAAAUCAUCAUUUGAAACAGAGCUGCAAGACUAACAUAUGGACGACAGGAGAGUAAUAGAUGUGUCAUACACCAAAAACAGAAAGAUCCAUUACCUCAAAUGUAAACUUGUGAGAGGCAAGGAGAAUACACAAAAUAGGAUGUCUGGAAGCCUUUUUGAGACUGUAUCACUAUCCAUCUAGAAAAAUGCUAUAGGUAAAUAAAAUAUGUCCUUACUGAAUAAUAAGUAUAAUAUGUGCAAUUUAUCCUCAUUACAAAGAGAUUUUAUUGUGUCUGAAGAAUUCCAUGGAGAACCAUUAUGGAUCCAUUAUAGCAUUUUUAGUGAUCUGCUCCGCUUCCCAAACCGUGGUUCUUUUGUACAGUAUCAGACAUAUAAUGUGCAUUUCUAUUUUCUGCCUGCUCCACAUUCUGUGUGCUUACAAAUAAUUAGGCAGGAGGGGUUUUGAUGCCUUGUUGGCCACUUCUUAAAAGCACAAUAUAAUUUAUUGGGACAAAAUAUAGUAAUGCACUUUAAGGAAAGUUCUCUUAUGUAAAAGCUCAAUCUCGAAUUAAGGGUAAAGUUUUAAUCACAAGAAUUGACACAUUUCCAAUAGGAAAGGUUUCAUAGUUGCAGUAUUUUAUUAUGAUAACUGAAUUUUAUAAGAAUGGCACCAUUUACUUCUAUGAAAGUUUAUUCUCCUUCUUCUGACCUGGGGCUUUAUUAGCUUCCCAGUAUUUCCCCACUCUUCCACAUGGAAUUCUUGGCCCGGCCCCAACUUACAUUUUUACUUCUUUUAUAUAUGAUUACUUUUGCACAUAAGCAUUGUCUUCCACUCAACCUCCAUCUUUUCAAGAAUACAUGUGGUCCUUCACUUCCUUGGAUACACACUUGUACUUUCUCCACUUUUCCUACUGCUCCAAUUUUUUUUCCUGUUCUAAAGGUCUGUAAAUAUUUUCCCAUCUCUGUAACACUUUUUGUGGAUGUGUGGGUCUUUUUCUUUCAAAUAAGGUGCACAUCUGCUGUGCUGAACUGCUCAUCCAUCUGCAGAGCAGAAAGGGAGGGUACACCUGUUGAAUAUCCAGAGUUCUCCAUGGAUUUUUCUAGAUGCUCUAUAUUAUGUACCUCAUUUACUUCGCUUAACAACCAGGCAAUGAAGAACUAGCAUGCCUGUUGUAUGGAUGAAAAAACCGAGGCUUAAUACAUCCAAGCAGCUUUUCCCAAGUUCCUUUGGUGGAAAGCAAAAGAGGAUAGAUUCAAAUCCAUCUUUUUCACCAAAACCUGUGUGUGUUUGUUUUUCAACUUUCCCUAUGUGUGUGUCUAUUUCAUUUUCCCAUCUCCUGAUUGCAAGGACUCUAUCAUGGGCAAUUUAAUCUUUUAGGUAGCUGUCACGUAUCUCAAUUCUGCAUUUACCGCCUUGUGUAACUCAGGUGCAACAUUUUUCUUCACAAGGUUUUUUCCAUUUUUACUUAUUAAAAUGAUUUGGAUAUUCAUAAGUAGAGCUAGGUAUAUUUUUCCUUGCUAGUAAAAAAAAAUAGUCAUGUAACUAAUGAAAGCUCUUUCAAGUUGGUCUAUAUUUUCAAGUUGGUCAAGAACAUAAAAGAACAUAAAAGAGUUUUUUAUGUUUUCCAAGUUUGAUUUCUAUUAACUUUAUUCUGUGUAUGAUUAUUAAUGUUUCUCAGUUUAUACAGUUUUGUGUUCUCUUAGAGGAUAAUACCCACUUUUCACAGACUAUUUAAAUCUUCACUGGGAAAAAAUAUCAAAAUUUAUAAAUUAUAUGAAUAUAUUUAAUUAGCACAUGUGCCCCCAAACUAUGUACAUCUAUUAUACAGCAAUUUUAAAAUUUUAAAUAAAAGGUAAAUGUAAAAAA